AAGGACAAGCAGUUGUGUUGUGGUCCAGCUGAUAAUAAGACAAUUCUGGUGAGGAAUUCCCGUCACCAUGAGUGCUGUGGUCACAGCCAGUACGACACUGAGACUCAGUGCUGCUGUUCAAAUGAGGAGAAGAUGGAAAUACAAUCGAAGGAUUCAUCCUGCUGUGUCAGGAAUUUCACUCCAGGCCUUUCAAGUGGAAAUACCACCUUCAACAAACCUUCACCAAAGCAUGGAUAUUGUGGUGAAGAGAUUUACGAUAUGGAAAAUAAGUUGUGUUGUGGUCCAAAUAAUGAUAAAAAGAU
ensembl:lncRNA